rfam:Olsenella scatoligenes strain SK9K4 contig_3, whole genome shotgun sequence.
UGACAGUUUCAGGGCGGGGUGAGAUUCCCCACUGGUGGUGACGCGCAACCGCGCGAAGUCCGCGACCCGCUAAAAAGGCGGCUGACCUGGUGAGAUUCCAGGACCAACGGUUACAGUCCGGAUGGAAGAAACGGAGA